AGAGUUGAUCCUGGCUCAGAACGAACGCUGGCGGCGUGCUUAAUACAUGCAAGUCGUGCGAGAAAGUCACUUCGGGUGGUGAGUAAAGCGGCGAACGGGUGAGUAACACGUAAGAAACCUGCCCCUAAAUCCGGAAUAACAUUGCUAACGCGGUGCUAAUACCGGAUGUGGUCUCCAGUUUGCAUGAACAGGAGAUUAAAGGUGACCUCUACUUGUAAGUUAUCGUUUAGGGAUGGUCUUGCGGACCAUUAGCUUGUUGGCGGGGUAACGGCCCACCAAGGCUGCGAUGGUUAGCCGGCUUAAGAGGGUGAUCGGCCACAUUGGGACUGAGAUACGGCCCAGACUCCUACGGGAGGCAGCAGUAGGGAAUUUUGCGCAAUGGACGAAAGUCUGACGCAGCAACGCCGCGUGAGCGAUGAAGGUUUUCGGAUUGUAAAGCUCUGUUGAGUGGGAAGAAAACUCUCCGGGAUAAUACCCCGGAGACUUGACGGUACCACUCGAGGAAGCCCCGGCUAAAUACGUGCCAGCAGCCGCGGUAAUACGUAUGGGGCAAGCGUUGUUCGGAAUCACUGGGCGUAAAGGGAGUGUAGGCGGAAAGGUAAGUUAGAAGUGUAAUCCACGGGCUUAACCCGUGACUCGCUUUUAAUACUGCUUUUCUUGAGUAUGGGAGAGGGAGAUGGAAUUCCAGGUGUAGCGGUGGAAUGCGUAGAUAUCUGGAAGAACACCAGUAGCGAAGGCGGUCUCCUGGCCCAAUACUGACGCUGAGGCUCGAAAGCGUGGGGAGCGAACAGGAUUAGAUACCCUGGUAGUCCACGCC
rnacentral:rRNA from 1 species